UGGGGAAUAUUGGGCAAUGGAGGGAACUCUGACCCAGCCAUGCCGCGUGCAGGAUGAAGGCGUUAUGCGUUGUAAACUGCUUUUUAUAUAGGAAGAAAUAGUCCUUGCGAGGAAAGUUGACGGUACUAUAUGAAUAAGCACCGGCUAACUCCGUGCCAGCAGCCGCGGUAAUACGGAGGGUGCAAGCGUUGUCCGGAUUUAUUGGGUUUAAAGGGUGCGUAGGCGGUUUAUUAAGUCAGUGGUGAAAGACGGUCGCUCAACGAUUGCAGUGCCAUUGAUACUGGUAGACUUGAGUAUGAUUGAGGUAGCUGGAAUGGAUAGUGUAGCGGUGAAAUGCAUAGAUAUUAUCCAGAACACCAAUUGCGUAGGCAAGUUACUAAGUCAUAACUGACGCUGAGGCACGAAAGUGUGGGUAUCAAACAGGAUUAGAUACCCCCGUAGUCCCUGAGCGGGCUGGCAAGGCGCAU
rnacentral:rRNA from 1 species